CCGGAGGUUACUGCUAUCGGAGUUCGAUUAAGCCAUGCGAGUCUAAAGGUUUCUUCGGAAACCUUGGCGGACUGCUCAGUAACACGUGGAUAACCUACCCUUGGGACUGGAAUAACCCCGGGUUACUGGGGAUAAUACCGGAUAGAUCAGGGAUGCUGGAAUGCACCUUGAUCCAAAGCUCCGGCGCCCAAGGAUGGGUCUGCGGCCUAUCAGGUAGUAGUGGGUGUAACGUACCUACUAGCCAACGACGGGUACGGGUUGUGAGAGCAAGAGCCCGGAGAUGGAUUCUGAGACACGAAUCCAGGCCCUACGGGGUGCAGCAGGUGUGAAACCUUUACAAUGUGCGAAAGCAUGAUAAGGGAACUCCGAGUGCCAGUAUCUAAUACUGGCUGUCCUUGUGCCUAAAACGCACAAGAUAGCAAGGGCCGGGUAAGACCGGUGCCAGCCGCCGCGGUAACACCGGCGGCCCGAGUGGUAGCCGCUAUUAUUGGGUCUAAAGGGUCCGUAGCCGGUUCGAUAAGUCCUCUGGGAAAUCUGGUUGCUUAACAAUCAGACUGCCAAGGGAUACUGUCGAACUUGAGACCGGGAGAGGUAAGAGGUACUUCAGGGGUAGGAGUGAAAUCUUGUAAUCCCUGGGGGACCAUCUGUGGCGAAGGCGUCUUACCAGAACGGGUCUGACGGUGAGGGACGAAAGCUGGGGGCGCAAACCGGAUUAGAUACCCGGGUAGUCCCAGCCGUAAACGAUGCUCGCUAUGUGUCAGGUACGGUGUGACCGUAUCUGGUGCCGUAGGGAAGCCGUGAAGCGAGCCACCUGGGAAGUACGGCCGCAAGGCUGAAACUUAAAGGAAUUGGCGGGGGAGCACUACAACGGGUGGAGCCUGCGGUUUAAUUGGAUUCAACGCCGGAAAUCUUACCGGGGGAGACAGCAGCAUGAAGGUCAGGCUGAAGACCUUACCAGAUCCGCUGAGAGGAAGUGCAUGGCCGUCGUCAGUUCGUACUGUGAAGCAUCCUGUUAAGUCAGGCAACGAGCGAGACCCGUGCCCACAGUUGCCAGCAUACCCUUCGGGGUGAUGGGUACUUUGUGGGGACCGCCGCUGCUAAAGCGGAGGAAGGAGCGGGUUACGGUAGGUCAGUAUGCUCCGAAACUCCCGGGCUACACGCGGGCUACAAUGGUUG
rnacentral:rRNA from 1 species